GAUGAAGAACGCAGCGAAAUGCGAUAAGUAAUGUGAAUUGCAGAAUUCAGUGAAUCAUCGAAUCUUUGAACGCACAUUGCGCCCGCCAGUAUUCUGGCGGGCAUGCCUGUUCGAGCGUCAUUUCAACCAUCAAGCCCCAGGCUUGUGUUGGGGACCUGCGGCUGCCGCAGGCCCUGAAAACCAGUGGCGGGCUCGCUGUCACACCGGGCGUAGUAGAUUUUAUCUCGCUCAGGGCGUGCUGCGGGUUCCGGCCGUUAAAAAGCCUUUUUUACCCAAGGUUGACCUCGGAUCAGGUAGGAAUACCCGCUGAACUUAAGCAUAUCAAUAAGCGGAAGA
rnacentral:misc_RNA from 1 species